rnacentral:rRNA from 1 species
UACGAAGGGGGCUAGCGUUGUUCGGAAUUACUGGGCGUAAAGCGUGCGCAGGCGGCUUCUCAAGUCAGGGGUGAAAGCCCAGAGCUCAACUCUGGAAUUGCCUUUGAGACUGAGUGGCUUGAGUACGAGAGAGGUGAGUGGAAUUCCCAGUGUAGAGGUGAAAUUCGUAGAUAUUGGGAAGAACACCAGUGGCGAAGGCGACUCGCUGGACAGGUAUUGACGCUGAGGUGCGAAAGCGUGGGGAGCAAACAGG